rnacentral:lncRNA from 1 species
GUGAGCUCCCAGAUUCAUUAGAAUUAUUUCACCCAUGUGGAGGCUGCCAGCAACCGCCUGGUCCACCCACAUCUGCAGGCUUCCCGGACCUACCUCUUUCUGGGCUUUCAUUUCAAUCUUGAUGAUGUGGCUUAGAGGGUGUGGGACAAUGUCGAGUUGGUGGAGGAGAAGCCUGAGGGCUCUGAAAACUUGAAAAUUUGAAAUUUUCUUGGAAACGCAAAACCAGCCCUGUGGUGCCAAACCAGGACCCUGGCUGUACCCUCUUCUAGGACAUGCAGAAGCUAUCCCAUGAUGAGAGGGGUGAAACCCUGGACUGCAUGGUAGAUGUCCUGGCUCUGUAGAAGAACCUGAACCAGGCCCUUUUACAUCUGUGUUCCCUGGGUUCUGUCCACACAGGCCCCACCUCUCCGACUUCCUGGAGAGCCAAUUUCUUAUCAAGAAGAUGAGCAACCACCUAACCCACCUCUGCAGGCAAAAGGCUCACCCUCAAGCAGGACAGGGACCUUCUGGAGCCCAGAGGCCU